UAGAGUUUGAUUCCUGCUCAGAUUGAACGCUGGCGGCAGGCCUAACACAUGCAAGUCGAACGGUAACAGAGAGUAGCUUGCUACUUUGCUGACGAGUGGCGGACGGGUGAGUAAUGUCUGGGGAUCUGCGUGAUGGAGCAUAGAUAACUACUGGAAACGGUAGCUAAUACCGCAAAUGUCGCAAGACCAAAGCGGGGGACUUUCGGGCCUCGCACCAUCAGAUGAACCCAGAUGGGAUCAGCUAGUAGGUAAGGUAAUGGCUUACCUAGGCGACGAUCCCUAGCUGGUCUGAGAGGAUGACCAGCCACACUGGAACUGAGACACGGUCCAGACUCCUACGGGAGGCAGCAGUGGGGAAUAUUGCACAAUGGGCGCAAGCCUGAUGCAGCCAUGCCGCGUGUAUGAAGAAGGCCUUCGGGUUGUAAAGUACUUUCAGUCAGGAGGAAGGGUGUGAAAUUAAUACUUUCAUGCAUUGACGUUACUGACAGAAGAAGCACCGGCUAAUUCCGUGCCAGCAGCCGCGGUAAUACGGAGGGUCCAAGCGUUAAUCGGAAUUACUGGGCGUAAAGCGCACGCAGGCGGUUUGUUAAUUCAGAUGUGAAAUCCCCGGGUUCAACCUGGGAACUCCAUUGGAAACUGGCAAGCUGGAGUCUGGUAGAGGGGGGUAGAAUUCCAGGUGUAGCGGUGAAAUGCGUAGAGAUCUGGAGGAAUACCGGUGGGGAAGGCGGCCUCCUGGACAAAGACUGACGCUCAGGUGGGAAAGCGUGGGGAGCAACCAGGAUUAGAUACCCUGGUAGUCCACGCCGUAAACGAUGUCGACUUGGAGGCUGUUCCCUUGAGGAGUGGCUUCCGGAGCUAACGCGUUAAGUCGUCCGCCUGGGGAGUACGGCCGCAAGGUGAACUUCGGAAUGAUUGACCAGCUGACCC
rnacentral:rRNA from 1 species